rnacentral:rRNA from 1 species
UCCCUUAGAUGCUCUGGGCCGCACGCGCGCUACACUGGUCGAUGCAACGAGUUUCUUUCCUUGGCCGACAGGCCUGGGCAAUCUUUGAACAUCGAUCGUGAUCGGGAUAGAUUCUUGUAAUUUUUGAUCUUAAACGAGGAAUUCCUAGUAAACGCAAGUCAUCAGCUUGCAUUGAUUACGUCCCUGCCCUUUGUACACACCGCCCGUCGCACCUACCGAUUGAAUGGUCCGGUGAAAUCUCCGGACUGGCGUGAGUCGGAGCAAUCUGGCAAACGCCGGAAAGUUGAUUAAACCUUACCAUUUAGAGGAAGGUGAAGUCGUAACA